rnacentral:rRNA from 1 species
CGAGGCGGAGCAAAUCUCAAAAGACCGUCCCAGUUCGGAUUGCAGGCUGCAACCCGCCUGCAUGAAGUUGGAAUCGCUAGUAAUCGCGGAUCAGCAUGCCGCGGUGAAUACGUUCCCGGGCCUUGUACACACCGCCCGUCACACCAUGAGAGUCGGGAACACCCGAAGUCCGUAGUCUGACCGCAAUGAGGACGCAGUCGAAGGUGGGAUUGAUAAUUAGGGUGAAGUCGUAACAAGGUAUC